ACGUAGGGUGCAGGCGUUAAUCGGAAUUACUGGGCGUAAAGCGUGCGCAGGCGGCUCCUUAAGUCAGAUGUGAAAUCCCCGGGCUUAACCUGGGAACUGCGUUUGAAACUGGGGGGCUUGAGUGUGGAAGAGGGGGGUGGAAUUCCAGGUGUAGCAGUGAAAUGCGUAGAGAUCUGGAGGAACACCGAUGGCGAAGGCAGCCCCCUGGGCUAACACUGACGCUCAUGCACGAAAGCGUGGGGAGCAAACAGGAUUAGAUACCCUGGUAGUCCACGCCCUAAACGAUGUCAACUAGUUGUCGGGGAAGCAAUUCCUUGGUAACGAAGCUAACGCGUGAAGUUGACCGCCUGGGGAGUACGGCCGCAAGGUUA
rnacentral:rRNA from 1 species